rnacentral:tRNA from 1 species
GCCUGGGUGGCUCAGUUGGUUGAGUGUCCGACUUCAGCUCAGGUCAUGAUCUUGCCAUUCGUGGGUUCGAGCUCUACAUCAGGCU